rnacentral:tRNA from 1 species
UGACGUAGCUCAGUUGGUAGAGCACUUCACUCGUAAUGAAGGGGUCGGAGGUUCGAAUCCUCUCGUCAG